rnacentral:rRNA from 1 species
CUCAGAACGAACGUUGGCGGCGUGGAUUAGGCAUGCAAGUCGAACGAAGACAGGGGGGCAACUCCCUGGACUGAGUGGCGAAAGGGGCAGUAAUGCGUGGGUAACCUACCCUGAGGAUCGGGAUAGCCUCUCUAACGGGAGGGUAAUACCGGGCGAUGUAACGGCGGGGCAUCUCGUUGUUACCAAAUGAAUUUCGCCUUGGGAGGGGCUCACGUGCUAUUAGCUAGUUGGUAGGGUAAAAGCCUACCAAGGCAAAGAUGGUUAGUCGGUGUGAGAGCACGACCGGCGUCACUGGCACUGAGACACUGGCCAGACUCCUACGGGAGGCUGCAGUCGAGGAUCUUCGGCAAUGGGCGCAAGCCUGACCGAGCGACGCCGCGUGCGCGAUGAAGGCCUUCGGGUUGUAAAGCGCUGUCGAGGGGGAGGAAACCGCAAGGUUGACCUAUCCCUGGAGGAAGGACGGGCUAAGUUCGUGCCAGCAGCCGCGGUAAGACGAACCGUCCUAACGUUGUUCGGAAUCACUGGGCUUAAAGGGCGCGUAGGCGGGCUUUCAAGUCCGGGGUGAAAUCUUUCGGCUUAACCGGAAAAUAGCCUUGGAUACUGGGAGUCUCGAGUGAGGUAGGGGCGGGUGGAACUUCCGGUGGAGCGGUGAAAUGCGUUGAUAUCGGAAGGAACGCCGGUGGCGAAAGCGACCCGCUGGACCUCUUCUGACGCUGAGGCGCGAAAGCCAGGGGAGCAAACGGGAUUAGAUACCCCGGUAGUCCUGGCCGU